rnacentral:rRNA from 1 species
CCUACGGGGGGCAGCAGUAGGGAAUAUUGCUCAAUGGGGGAAACCCUGAAGCAGCAACGCCGCGUGUAGGAUGAAGGUUUUCGGAUUGUAAACUCCUUUUGGUAGAGAAGAUAAUGACGGUAUCUAACGAAUAAGCACCGGAUAACUCCGUGCCAGCAGCCGCGGUAAUACUGAGGGUGCAAGCGGUACUCGGAAUGACUGGGCGUAAAGAGCGAGUAGGCGGGAUAGCAAGUCAGAUGUGAAAUCCUAUGGCUUAACCAUAGAACUGCAUUUGAAACUGUUAUUCUAGAGUAUGGGAGAGGUAGGUAGAAUUCGUGGUGUAGCGGUAAAAUGCGUAGAGAUCAAGAGGAAUACUCAUUGCGAAGGCGACCUGCUAGAACAUAACUGACGCUGAUGCGCGAAAGCGUGGGGAGCAAACAGGAUUAGAUACCCGUGUAGUC